UACGUAGGGUGCGAGCGUUAAUCGGAAUUACUGGGCGUAAAGCGUGCGCAGGCGGUUAUGUAAGUCAGGUGUGAAAUCCCCGGGCUUAACCUGGGAACUGCAUUUGUGACUGCAUCGCUGGAGUGCGGCAGAGGGGGAUGGAAUUCCGCGUGUAGCAGUGAAAUGCGUAGAUAUGCGGAGGAACACCGAUGGCGAAGGCAGUCCCCUGGGCCAAUACUGACGCUCAGGCACGAAAGCGUGGGGAGCAAACAGG
rnacentral:rRNA from 1 species